CCUAGGUUUAAGGGCUACAGUUCUAGGCCAAGCCGGAUACCCAUCAAUAAACCCGAUUUCCUCUCCUUUCUAACCCUGGUCCCCAAUAUCUAGUUGGUCAACUAAAACUGACAAAUCUGCCUUGUAAAUUGGCUCCUUUUUAUCUUCCGUACCAUUGCCUUACAAUAUUCCUUGUUGCUAAAGGGGAUCAGAAUAUGCCACCCCAAAAUAUGUCCCUUGGUAUAAAGAUUAUUUUAAGCUGAAGACGUUUGAGAUUCAACAGAUACAGAAAAAAAAAAGCCUGCUUAGAGCUUCUCUUAUCUGAUUUUAAAGCAGGAACAAGACUGCCACAAAUCUUAGAAUCUAAUCCCAGAAGGGAAAAUGUGAAUGAAACCUACACCAAAACCCUGAAGAGACUGAAAGAUUACUCACACCUGUGUAGACAAACAUUAUAAACCUUCUUAUCUCUUGUUUGUUCUUCUAAAAAACCCACCUAUCUUUCCAAAAAGUCAUGUGUUUUUCUGUAAGUACCUUUCUCUUCCUCCUCCUCACCUAUUAAAAGGCUCUGUUGGUGGCCGAUUCACACUAGAGACUGUUUCUUUUGCUGUGCAGAAGCUGUGGAGUUUCAUUAUGUCCCAUUUGUCUAUUUUGGCUUUUGUUGCCAAUGCUUUUGGUGUUUUGUUCAUGAAGUCCUUGCCUACUCCUAUGUCCUGGAUGGUUUUGCCUAGAUUUCCUUCUAGGGUUUUUAUGGUGCCGGGUCUUAUGUUUAAGUCUUUAAUCCAUCUGGAGUUAAUUUUAGUGUAAGGUGUCAGGAAGGGGUUCAGUUUCUGCUUUCUACACAUGGCUAGCCAGUUUUCCCAACACCAUUUGUUGAACAGGGAAUCCUUUCCCCAUUGCUUGUUUUUGUCAGGUUUAUCAAAGAUUGUAUGGUUAUAGCUAUGUUGUGUUGCCUCUGAUGCCUCUGUUCUGUUCCAUUGAUCUAUAUCUCUGUUUUGGUACCAGUACCAUGCUGUUUUGAUUACUGUAGCCUUAUAGUAUAGUUUGAAAUCCGGUAGUGUGAUGCCCCCCGCUGUGUUUUUUGCUUAGAAUUGACUUGGCUAUGCGGGCUCUCUUUUGGUUUCAUAUGAAGUUCAAGGUGGUUUUUUCCAGUUCUGUGAAGCAUGUCAAUGGUAGCUUGAUGGGGAUGGUGUUGAUUCUGUAAAUUACUUUGGGCAGUAUAGCCAUUUUCACGAUAUUAAUUCUUCCUAACCAUGAACAUGGAAUGUUUCUCCAUCUGUUUGUGUCCUCUCUGAUUUCGCUGAGCAGUGGUUUGUAGUUUUCCCUGAAGAGGUCCCUUACAUUCCUUGUGAGUUGUAUUCCAAGGUAUUUUAUUCUUUUUGUAGCAAUUGUGAAUGGCAGUUCGUUCUUGAUUUGGCUCUCUUUUAGUCUGUUAUUGGUGUAGAGGAAGGCUUGUGAUUUUUGCACAUUGAUUUUAUAUCCUGAGACUUUGCUGAAGUUGCUUAUCAGUUCCAGGAGUUUUUGGGCUGAGGUGAUGGGGUCUUCUAGGUAUAUUAUCAUGUCGUCUGCAAAUAGAGACAAUUUGGCUUCCACCUUUCCUAUUUGAAUACCCUUCAUUUCUUUUUCUUGCCUGAUUGGUCUGGCUAGAACUUCCAGUACUAUAUUGAAUAGGAGUGGUGACAGAGGGCAUCCUUGUCUAGUGCCGGAUUUCAAAGGGAAUGCUUCCAGUUUUUGCCCAUUCAGUAUGAUAUUGGCUGUUGGUUUGUCAUAAAUAGCUUUUAUUACUUUGAGAUAUGUUCCAUCGAUACCGAGUUUAUUGAGGGUUUUUAGCAUAAAGGGCUGUUGAAUUUUGUCAAAUGCCUUCUCUGCAUCAAUUGAGAUAAUCAUGUGGUUUUUGUUUUUGGUUCUGUUGAUGUGGUGAAUUACGUUGAUAGACUUGCGUAUGUUGAACCAGCCUUGCAUCCCCGGGAUGAAUCCUACUUGAUCAUGAUGAAUAAGUUUUUUGAUUUGCUGUUGCAAUCGGCUUGCCAAUAUUUUAUUGAAGAUUUUUGCAUCUAUGUUCAUCAUGGAUAUUGGCCUGAAGUUUUCUUUUCUCGUUGGGUCUCUGCCGGGUUUUGGUAUCAGGAUGAUAUUGGUCUCGUAGAAUGAUUUGGGUAGGAUUCCUUCUUUUUGGAUUAUUUGGAAUAGUUUCAGAAGAAAUGGUACCAGCUCCUCUUUGUGUGUCUGGUAGAAUUCAGCUGUGAACCCGUCUGGACCUGGGCUUUUUUUGUGUGGUAGGCUAUUAAUUGCUGCCUCGACUUCUGACCUUGUUAUUGGUCUAUUCAUAGUUUCACCUUCCUCCUGGUUUAGGCUUGGGAGGACACAGGAGUCCAGGAAUUUAUCCAUUUCUUCCAGGUUUACUAGUUUAUGUGCAUAGAGUUGUUUGUAAUAUUCUCUGAUGAUGGUUUGAAUUUCUGUGGAAUCUGUGGUGAUUUCCCCUUUAUCAUUUUUUAUUGCAUCUAUUUGGUUGUUCUCUCUUUUCUUUUUAAUCAGUCUGGCUAGCGGUCUGUCUAUUUUGUUGAUCUUUUCAAAAAACCAGCUCUUGGAUUUAUUGAUUUUUUGGACGGUUUUUCGUGUCCCAAUCUCCUUCAGUUCAGCUCUGAUCUUAGUUAUUUCUUGUCUUCUGCUGGGUUUUGAGUUUUUUUGAUCUUGCUCCUCUAGCUCUUUCAAUUUUGACGAUAGGGUGUCACUUUUGGAUCUCUCCAUUCUUCUCAUAUGGGCACUUAUUGCUAUAUACUUUCCUCUAGAGACUGCUUUAAAUGUGUCCCAGAGGUUCUGGCAUGUUGUGUCUUCGUUCUCAUUGGUUUCGAAGAACUUCUUUAUUUCUGCCUUCAUUUCGUUGUUUAUCCAGUCAACAUUCAGGAGCCAGUUGUUCAGUUUCCAUGAAGCUGUGCGGUUCUGGGUUGGUUUCUGAAUUCUGAGUUCUAACUUGAUUGCACUAUGGUCUGAGAGGCUGUUUGUUAUUAUUUCAGUUGUUUUGCAUUUGCUGAGCAGUGCUUUACUUCCAAUUAUGUGGUCAAUUUUAGAGUAGGUAUGAUGUGGUGCUGAGAAGAAUGUAUAUUCUGUGGAUUUGGGGUGGAGAGUUCUGUAAAUGUCUAUCAGGUUUGCUUGCUCCAGGUCUGAGUUCAAGCCCUGGAUAUCCUUGUUGAUUUUCUGUCUGGUUGAUCUGUAUCUAAUAUUGACAGUGGAGUGUUAAAGUCUCCCGCUAUUAUUGUGUGGGAGUCUAAGUCUCUUUGUAAGUCGUUAAGAACUUGCCUUAUGUAUCUGGGUGCUCCUGUAUUGGGUCCAUAUAUGUUUAGGAUCGUUAGCUCUUCUUGUUGUAUCAAUCCUUUUACCAUUAUGUAAUGGCCUUCUUUGUCUCUUUUGAUCUUUGUUGCUUUAAAGUCUAUUUUAUCAGAGAUGAGGAUUGCAACUCCUGCUUUCUUUUGCUCUCCAUUUGCUUGGUAAAUCUUCCUUCAUCCCUUUAUUUUGAGCCUUAGUGUAUCCUUGCAUGUGAGAUGGGUUUCCUGGAUACGGCACACUGCUGGGUUUUGGCUUUUUAUCCAAUUUGCCAGUCUGUGUCUUUUGAUUGGUGCAUUUAGUCCAUUUACAUUUAGGGUUAAUAUGGUUAUGUGUGAGUUUGACACUGCCAUUUUGAUGCUAGCUGGCUGUUUUGCCCGUUAGUUGUUGUAGAUUCUUCAUUAUGUUGAUGCUCUUUAGCAUUUAGUGUGAUUUUGGAAUGGCUGGUACUGGUUGUUCCUUUCUAUGUGUAGUGCCUCUUUCAGGAGCUCUUGUAAAGCAGGGCUGGUGGUGACAAAAUCUCUGAGUGCUUGCUUGUUCACAAAGGAUUUUAUUUUUCCUUCACUUCUGAAGCUCAGUUUGGCUGUAUAUGAAAUUCUGGGUU
rnacentral:lncRNA from 1 species